rnacentral:rRNA from 1 species
GAUGAACGCUGGCGGCGUGCCUAACACAUGCAAGUCGAACGAAGCACUUUUUACGAUCCCUUCGGGGUGACGAAUUUGUGACUGAGUGGCGGACGGGUGAGUAACGCGUGGGAAACCUGCCUUGUACCGGGGGAUAGCAGUUGGAAACGACUGAUAAUACCGCAUAAGCGCACAGUAUCACAUGAUUCAGUGUGAAAAACUCCGGUGGUACAAGAUGGUCCCGCGUCUGAUUAGCUGGUUGGUGAGGUAACGGCCCACCAAGGCGACGAUCAGUAGCCGGCCUGAGAGGGUGAACGGCCACAUUGGGACUGAGACACGGCCCAAACUCCUACGGGAGGCAGCAGUGGGGGAUAUUGCGCAAUGGGGGAAACCCUGACCCAGCAACGCCGCGUGAAGGAAGAAGGCCUUCGGGUUGUAAACGUUCUUUUACCUAGGGACGAAGGACGUGACGGUACCUGGAGAAAAGCAACGGCUAACUACGUAG